ACACAACACUGCUGUUAUCAACCAGGCGGUGCUGUUGCUAUGACUGCCUGACCAUGUGCUCACGGAGCCUUUGAAACUGGCUUGCUGGAGGAAUUUGGGGAGGUUCAGAGACAGCAACUAGAGAGGUCACGGAAGGCUGCCAAGAAACUUCGGUGUCCAAACUUCAGUGUCCAAACUGCGGUGUCCACAACAAAGGCUACCGUCUCAUUUGUGAAGUUCAGCAGUACACUCGCGCCAUUGGCCAGCUCCGUGCCCAGUGAGGCAGACUGGCUUGCUUUUGUUUCUAAUUCAGUGCCACAGGGCAAGUCACUUAACCGCCUCAUUAGGAUCACAGUCACAGCCCUACCUGGCCUCCUUCCCCAGUGCCUGGUCACCCCAUUAAUAUCUGUAAAGAUCCAGCAAGCCUUCUAGCUGAAAAGUUCCACAAAAGCAAAACCUAUCACUAUUAUCAUCAAUAAACUCCAAGACACUCUUGCCUGUCACCACCUAAAGUAAAUCAGUCACCCACCUUGGUCCAUCACGCCUCUAAUGAGCCACCUACAGCCACAGAAAUGUCCAAGAUCCACACUGACAGGAACUCGCAUUCCAGGAAAGAAAAAGUAUCAUAGCUUUAAUUUGGGGCAGUCAGGUUAAACUCUCAGAAUAUCCACAAGGGCGGCCUAAAAGCAUCACAGCUCCUACCCUGUCCCUGGAGCCCAGGAACCCAGGGUGGCCUGCUGUGUGGCUCUUCCCCACUUGGAAGGCGGGAAAUAGCACUGUCCAAAAGCAACUUGGAAAUAGACAAGUAGGUUGGUUUUCCUCUCUGGCUAUUUAAAGAAAAUCUCAAGUCCUGCUCCCUUUGGGACCCACUAAUGUCCUUCUCGCUUAUAAACCCCCUCAUUCAAAAUCUUACUGACAAGGUCACCAGGAUCUUUCUGAAAGAAUCCAGAAUGGAAGGUGGUGUGCCUAGCCAUCAGCGGAGAAAUACAUGACAACACAGCUUAGGUACCCUACUAAACUGCCACUUAGAAGGAGAAAAUGCACAAAAGAACGUUGUGUGGUGCUGCUUCUUACAGGGGGGUGUUUUCCUCUGAAGGACACAUCAUGAGACCCUCGCUUAUCACAGCAAACCUUGGGUGUCUUGAAUUUUCAAUCAAGGACAUACAUUACCUGUGCAAAACACAGCUUACAACUAACUGGUCUCCAGCCAAACACAGGAAACUGAGCUUAAACAUUUGAAGAAUCUAUUCUAAUCGUAAAGGGGAACCCUUUCGUCUUGGAGAGGUUCUCAUUGCUAAAUAAGUGGAGAUCUUUUCUGAACAAGACAGGUGAGCUUCAUUCAUAAAGGUAAGGAAAGAAAAAUGCUACCAGCCAGGUCUCAUCUCCUCCUUUGUUCUCAGCCUAUCUUAAGAGGCCAAGCAUCCUGGGUCCAAUUCAUUGCACAAUACUGACAUUUGAAUAAGGAGACCAAAGGGCACUGCUUUCGGGCCCACUCACCAUCCGGAAUUCCUGCCUGCUGCAGCUGAACCUGGAGCCAGAUGUUGACGCGCUGAUCCCAGGCCCCCGGGGGCUCCACUUCCCACAGGCGUCCCCGCUCCUCUGGACAGGCCAACAGGAAUUGCCUGCAGACUGAGGGGAGCACACAGGCGUGAGUCAGGAAGACCCCUGCCUAGCUCUCUCCGUGGCUCAGAUGCGGCCCUCGUCCAGGUCCCCCUGCAGCAACCUCCAACCUCCCCACGCCCACUACUGUGCUCAUCUCUGCCGCACUGGGCACUUUUUCCUCAGCCUCCCCUGCAUGCAGCAGACUUAUCUGUUCAGCUGUGCUCCUGACUCCAUCCAUCCUGUGCCCGAUUUUAGGGUUACAUAAUGAGACACAAUCACCCUUCGAUAUCCAACAGGGAUGGUCCCAGAACCCCCCUGAUGGCACUCACAUCUGAGCACGCCACACUCAGAUAUAAUGGCACAGUGUUUGCAUAACUGGGGACAUCCUCCAAUACAUUUAAAUCAAUGCUGGAUGAAUUCUAGCCCUUGAUUCAAUGUAAAUGCUGUAAAAAUAGUUGUGAUACUUCACCAUUAAGAGACUAAUGGCAAGGGAAAAGAUACAUAUAUGUUCAAUAAAGACACCUCUUAAAAUGUUUUCCA